AAAUAUCAUCGCCUUGUAACAUGGAGACAGAUAUAGCGAGAUAUCAAUUUGUAAAAGGAUUAUUGUCAAUCCUAUUUUGGGGUGCAUUUAUCGUUCUUUACCGCAAACGACUGUUGGAGCAAUCUCUACGUAACAGAUUCAUCAUUGGAUUUAUGACAGUAGACAGCCUUUUUGACAUUGUCUGGCAGUGUUUAGGUACUUACUGGGUGUUUGGAAGGAGAGAAGAAAUAGAAGAAGUAUGCAUGGAUGACUUGAAUAUCCACAUUUACAGAUUUUCAUGUUUUCUAGUUGGUUUUGAUUGGUUUUGUACGGUUGUAUUUUUGUUUUACGCUGGAUAUAUAGCUUGGUCCCCAACAGAAACAGGGCAAUAAUAACAUCUUUGUUACUUUUGUUAAGUCCACUUAAAUAAUUUAAAACUGAAAAAGAGUUUUCGACAUCGGCAUGUAAAUGAAAUAGGUAUGAUCAAUUUGAUAUCAAGUCAUUGGCAAUGUAAAAAAUGUAAAAUAGCAGUUUUAUUUGACUUUUUAUAUUUAGUUGAACUGUAUUGUUUAAAUAAUUACAGAUAGUUUCUCAACUUUUUACAAGAACAAAAGAAAUUAAAAGGGCUUACAUGUUAAACUCAAGACAGUUAAAAAUAAUAUAUUGUAAAGAGAGUUUUAUAACUGUACAUCAAAGCAAUGUGUAAAUGACGUGAUGAUCAAUAUAUGGUCUGUCUCCAUGAUUAUCAUUACUCGUAGAUUCUAAACCGCUGAAGUUUUAACAAGUAAAUGAGUUUCCGCCAAUUGAAUUAUUUCAGAUUUAGCUGUGCUUUCAUGUAAAGGUAGGCAUUUAUACCCUUUUAAGAGGUUUUUAAGAAUUUCAACAUUUAAUAGUGAGUUAUUAAACCGGUGUUGGGAAUCACCUGAGGUAUAAUGACACGGAAAUUAGUAAGACACUCGAUUACUUCGGCAGGGAAACCGGCUUUUUGUUUUGGUAAUCAAUGUCGUAGAUAUUGUUAAUAGCACGACGUAGUAGAUAUUUUUAUCAAAUUGAAAGACACAAUUCCACUUCCUACGUCCGUUUUACAGAAUUAAGGAGAAAACGCACAGAAUCUUACACUUGAAAAGUCAUCGCAUCAUCACUUCUCAAUCAUUUAUAAAUUUCGGCUAUCUUUAUUGACAUUAUGGUUAAAAUAAUCGUUUAUUACGUUUAAUUCAUGUUAAGUUGAAGGUCAUUUUACCGAUACAUAUAAGCUGAUUGUUUACCAGCAUAAUAAACUAGAGUCAAAUUGUUUAAUCUAACACCAACUUCGGAAAAUAAACAAAAAAAUGACAUAAAAUCUGUAUAUUGGGGUAAGGAUCUAAGAUUACCUAAUUUUAUGAGGUAUUAAAUUGCCUAUCCGUAUUAGACGAUAUAUCGUAUCAAUUGUACAAAAGCGACUGUUAAGCAGAGUACAGAAAAGUCAGACAGAAGCUGCAAAUAUAAACAAUGUAUAUGCACCAAAUUGUUCUGUAGGUACGUACAUAAUUAUACACAAGCCUUAUUCUUUUAGCAAAUAUAUCAGUCUAAAUUACAAACAGACACAUGUGCAAAGACGGUAAUUAGUUUACAAGUCAAAGAUAAAAAUUUCCACUAGUCGCCAGUAAGCCGAUACUUACAAAUAGUAUGAAAUGGUAUCGGAGUCAUACACGAUGACAAGUUAUAUCGCCCCUGCAUUUCUCAUUAUAUCUAAGCGAUUAUAAACAAUAACUUUGUAAAUGAAAUAAACUGUCAAAACAUGGUAAAGAAAACAGUAUUAACAACUUUAUAGCUGCUUGUUGAUGACACGGUUAUGAUAACUAAUUCAACAGCAGAUUUACAAUUUAUACUGAAUGUUUAUGAAUGAUAUUGUAAUGACAAUUAACUUUAAAUAAGUCGAAGCCAAUAGUCUCGUUUGCUCAAGAGACAGACAAAGAGGAUACAGUUUUAAACACAAAAUGAAAGUAUUGAACUGUUUCAGAAUUAAUGUGUUCAGCUGCAGUUGCUCAUUUUAUAAAGCUAAAAGAAGAGAGAGUCAAGAAGGCAAUGAUAGCAACUGAUUUAAAUCUAAAUUAUUUUUAAUACCGAUCGAUAUGUAAAUAGAUACUUUUUCAAAAACUGUGAAAACCAUAUGUUAUACGGUUGUUACUUGUUGGUUUUACGAUACACUGACAAAAUUAUAAUUAUGUCACGUGGUGACUUUUCAGCUUCAAAUGGUACCGAAAGACCUCGGUGCUCCUUCGUGCAUUAUUUCAUCACAGGCGGGGACCUUCCAUAAGUCAGCCUGAUGGCUUCGUUAUAUGGAGAAUUCAACGGCCCUUGCGAGGCUCGAACCCAAAUAGGCGAGUAGCUAUUAACCAAUUGGCCGCGUAGUGUGUGAGGUACAGGAGAUGAUAACUUAUAUAUAACUGAAAAGAUGCAAACAUAUUUGAAGCAAACGAAAGCUAUUAUACUGACAUGAAGGUGUUAAGUCUGUAUCAAUAGACAUCAUAACAAGACGUGUACCAUUUGGCGCAAAACUUGUUUGUUGAAAUAAAUGUAAAUUAACAAUUUUCAGCAAGCAAAAUGUAUAAAACGUAAGGCAUCAACCAAAAGACAACCACAAAAACAGCAUAAGGUGCAGAUUUACAUUUUAAAUACUUUAUAAAUUGACACAGGGUGUGGUGGUCUAAAGUUACAAUGACUGUUUGGUACCAUUCAGCAAACCUUUUGAGUCAAAAUGUGGAUAUAUGCUAAUUUUGCGUUUAUUGUUUGCCUUUUGCCGCUACACAAUCAUUUCAUCUUUCAUCCAUGUACUGAAAACUGUAAAUAAAAUCUGUAGAAAGAUCCUUUGGAAGCAAAGAAUGCAACCAAGAAGAAUAAUAACUGACUCUGUUUUAUCUAAUCUGUUGAUAAGAGGUAAUGAAAUGUGCAACAUCUUUCACGUCUCCAAGCACCGGUUUUAGCGGAACUCUACUACACAUCAUAUGUUGAAUGCACUCCAUGAUACCAAAGGACCAGAAAAUACAACAACACUGAAUCCAAGUACGGCUUGGUUUCAGGUGAAGUUUUAUUCCUUAUGUAAAAACGACUCAUUGUAUAUACAAAAUUUAGCAGUAAUGAAAUGAAUGUUCAAUGCAUUUACUACAAAUAAUAGAACAAUGCUAGAUUAGAAUUAGAAUGGUAAAAGCCACGAUCUUUUCCUACCAUAUUUUUGUAUCUUUUAUUAUAACUUAAAACAACUGAAAUGUAAUUAUUUUAAGCUGAUAACAAUAUGGCGUCCGCCAUUUUUUUAACAUUCUUCUUUACGGAAUAAUAUUGCCAACAUUCUAGUUUAGGUUAUAGUCUUACUUAUUUCACAAUUGUCAAUAUGCUUGUGAAAGUCACGUUCUGGUCCUGGCCCUUGUGCCGAACUGAUAGUUACAAUACCUUACAAUGGCAAGAAAAUACAUGCCAAAGAGCGGAAGCAUUUUGAGCCCCUGCUCUUCCAAUAAAAGUAGAUUGCUUUUUACGAGAAACGUAUCUCUCUUAUCACUUGACACGCAAACAUUGUAAGAUUCCACAAAUUAGGGGCCAUGACUUAAUUGAAAAUCAAUCAGCCAUAACAUUCCUACGAUAUACACGACCAUGCUAGGUAUUACUCACUUCUGUGGAGUUUUGCGGAUCAAAAAUAUCAUAGCAUUUGACCAAACAGUGUUAAUAAUUCUACUGAAAUCAUUAAUCAGAAUGUAACAUUACGUUUAACGCUGAUAGUUAAAUUCAAUCCAACGGUAUAAACACUGUAAAAUACGGCAUAUAAAGGGCAAUUACCCCGCUGAAAAGUACUGAACUAGAAUAUGCGGAAGCUAUGUAAGAUUCGGAGGAAAUGUGCGUAAUGGUGCAAAGGAAGAAGCCAAAGCAUCAUUAAAUUUGACAAGUUUAGGGCAAAAUCUCCGAAGAAAAUCACAAAAUUGGAAUAUGUCCACUGUGUCUACAACUUAGCUUAGCAAUAACUACAUUUAUGGAAUUUGAUGUAAUUCCGUCUGGUGGUGCGGACGAAGUAAACUUCGACAAAUCAGUGAUGGUAACUCCACUGAUAAUAACUUAACCGGAGCAUGCCGACAAUUUGCACUUGUGCUGUCAAGUAGAAUCCUACAAAGUUUGGCUUAAAAAAAAGAAACAAGUUCAGUGAUAUGGUGUAGUAGCCAGCCUAACAAUAAAUAGACCAAAGCUGAGCUUGACUGUCCAUUCAGUUAUUAGGGUAUUUAACAGACGAAUUGUUCUAGGAUAUGAUAAAUUUUACUUAUAGUAGUAUUGCGUGCGUGGAUAUGGAAUAAGGUAGUUUAUGUACCUUGCACGGGCAAAAUUUAAUAAUUACAAUUGACCUAUGUUCUUUUUUUUCACAGGAAAAAACAUAUUGAUUACCGUAAAUGAACACUGCCUAAAUAUACACUGUUCUCAUUUAUUCGGGUUGACUGCAAAGUUUGGCGUUCACGAACCGCUGUGAUUGUUACCAUUUAAGGUUGACCGCUACUUUCUAAAAUAUGUCAAAUGUUACUUAAUCCGUUUUUAAUAUUGGUCUUGUGCCUGUUGGUCGUUUCUGCCUAAAACAAACCCUACACGAUCGACGUCUACUUCUGUGUUAUGUUUGUUUAAAAACAACACUAAGUGAAUACAAAGAAUACCGCAAAGGGCCCACUCGUCCACGCCAGUUCGUACAAGUAUUUACUAAAAAGCCUUAAUUUCUCUGUCAGUCGACCUAAAUAGUUGGAAGCGCUAUCCCUUUUCCGUUGUAAGCACAGAGGAGUUUUACGUCGCUGUGAAAUUGCAAAGAUUUUUUACCUCACCUAGGUCCGAUUCUUGAUUCGCUAUUUAGCACAUCUUUUACGUUAAGCGUGAUUUCCGUGAAUCGGCGUUACUGGUUGAACACGUUUGUUCUCAUAAAAUAUACGUCGUACAUUAUAGGCACCUGCAGGUAGGGGGCAUAUAAUAGGCUAUAAGUAGUAUCCUAUAUAAGCGAGACAAAUGUCGGCGAUUGUUUCGUGCAUACUUACAGUUUCAGUCGAAUGGUUCCCAACACUGUAAACGCAACGUAGAAAUUGAAAAAUGUUUAUAAAUGAUGUCUUUGAAUCAAAUAUAAGACUGUUUUUAUCUCAAACAUGUAACAAUGCUUUCGGUGAUAAUAUACAGUACCUAGACAUACGAGUCUUAUUUUGAUCUUAAUUGUGUUUAAUGAUUUCAUGAUCCUUAAAAUGUGUGAAGGCUCAUUUCUUUCCGCCUUAUAAUAUUAGAUUUUUAAAAUCAAAACUACUGUGUGGAAUUGUGUAUCCAUAUUAUCUUUAUGAAAAUUAGCAAAUAUUUUCUUUUUCUGUCUGCAUGUUUGUUGAUGUCAAUUGUACCGUUUUGAUAUCUGUAGAUCUAUGACACAAAUACUUUGUCAGAAAUAGUCGGAAUAUUUAAAUGGAAGGAUCUUUCUUAUAAUAUCAUAUCAUGUUUGGUUUGCAUCUGGAAAAUAAAACUUAACUGUAACGCAGACGAAAUAUAUCAAAGACCUAAAUUAAGAUAAAUUUAGAUUGAUAUUAGAUGCCGGUAAAUCGAUUAAAUUGUCAAUUGAAAUUAUCAAUGCCAGACCAUAUUUACAUUUUUUGUAGCUAGGCAGUCCUUUAGUUAUGAUUUUUAAGAUAUUUCAUUCAGAAUUAGCUCAAAUAGAUAACAGUGUUCUUUAAACAAAACAGGCGUUUUUCUCAAUUGUCGUGUGAUACUAAGACGACUGUGCAGGUUUGUUCAACACAUUUCUACGUCAUUAGCCUAAUAUAAAACCCAAUAUGUAAAUGUCUUAAACAAAUCAUGCCCACACUUUUAUAUUUUGCAGUAGAAAAUUAAUCUAUUUACGGCUGAGUGAUUUUUUCAAGACACACGUCAAAAACAUGUAGGCAAGUCCACCGUUUUUGCAAUUAUACAUGUGAUAUGUUUGUUUUCUCAACCGCUCACAAUUUAUCAGCUUUUAAUGAUGAAAUAUUUGAGUUUCAUGCUAGGUAUAUAUGGCUAUGAAAAUUAUAUGCAAAAAGGCUAUAUUUCAUCCUCUCAGAUCGUUUAGCAUGACAAUAAAGGGAAUUAAUGCCUCAUGACGUUUUGAAUAUGGCUUAUGUUGAGAGUUAGCCGAAAUAACUUGUUUCAAUUUGAUGACCUUUUCUGUGUUAUAAAUUGGAUAAAUCUCCGUCAUUCUAUAUAUAUCUUUCUUGCAAGUAGAGGACACUAUAUAGAUUGAAUUAAACCUUUUUUUUGGUACAAAGGGUAACAGACGGUUAUAAGCCGUGGUAAAAAAUGAUGGGUGAACUACUUAUUCCCUUUUGCCUAUAUCAUUUUUAUUUGUCAGUUUUUACCUGGAAGUAAUUAAAACAAACAUUUAUGAGCCCAGUCAACUACAAUAUUGUAUUGUCAUGAAUAUUUGUAUUUAUGUAAUUGUGUUUUAUUUUGACUGUUUACGAUAAAGCCAUGUUAUGCAUCCAUGGUCAAAAGGUUUGAGGCUAUCUAUGCAUUAUAAAAUGGUUAAUAUUUACUUUCGUGAUAAGAAAAUCAUUGAUUAGUUUAGGAAGGCUAAUUUAGAUUUGCUGUAAAUAUGCAAUUUUCAUGAUAGACAUUUAUCUAUAGGACUAAGUUUUGGAAAAUAGAAAAGUUACCUAUCAGCUCACGAGACUGUGGUCCAUGUAACCCUUAUGAUUAAACUCGAAGCCCUAUGUGUAACAGAGUCCGCCGUCAGAUAGUUUUCCUCUUACAUGUCUGAGAGGCACCAGUAAGUUCUUUUUUUUUGGGAGCUUAAUCUUCCCAAGCAAGUAUUACAUAUGGUGUUCCUCAAGGCUCUAUUUUAGGGCCUCUUCCAUUCCUUACCUAUGUAAAUGAAAUGCCAGCUGUGGUUAGGCAUAAGUUGCUUUGUUAUGCAGAUGGUUCUACGAUCUUAGUCUCAGGUAAACAUAACAGCGAAAUUGAAGCUUAUCUUAGUGCAGAACUGGAAUCUGUAAGUGACUCAUCUGUAAUAGAUUAUCAUUUCAUUUGGAUAAAAGAGUUUAUAUUUUUCGGUUACAAACACAGGGUCAAAUCUUUGCCUAAUCCUGUUGUCCCUUGUAAAGGAAACAUUUAAAUAUCUAAGUGCAAAACUUAACCAGAGUUUGUAACUUGAGUCUAUGGUUAUGUUUAUAAAAUUAAGAAGGCCAAUGCAAAAUUGAAGUUAUUUUUAUAGAAUUUUUUUUCCCCCAGCAUUCCAAGAAGUUAUUUAUUAUGUCCCUUAUACAGUGUCCUUUUGACCUACGCAUCAUCUGUUUGGUUUUAUUCUGUUACGCAAGAAGUCAGGAACAAAUUGCAGGUAACGCAGAAUUAUAAUAAUGGGUUUAAAGUAGCAUCCAAUGAUCAAUCUCGUACUUUUGCUGAAUGUGGUCGUUUCUCUGUACCCAGAGUUAAGGGUUUUGGUAAAAGGUCAUUCAUUAUGGAAUGAGCUUCCACAACAUAUAAGAGACGGCAAGUCUGUAGUUUGUUUUAAGUCCUCUUUAAAGAAGUACUUGAUGGAAUAAACCUUUACUUCUCCUUUUUGUUCAUUUUCUAUUCAUGUUUUUAAGUAAAGAUAGAUUUGUUAUUUUAAUAUUGUAGUGAUUAUCUAAUAUCUGUGAAAAAGUCCACGUCUAGUAUUUACUAGUGUACCAUACAUUUUCCAAUUGCUGUGUUGUUUCUUUUAAGUUGUCUUCCUAUGUCAAACUGUUUUGUAUUUAAAGGAGCAUUAUGGAAAUAAGAGAUUCCGUGCCUUUUUUGUGUGUGUCAUCCUUUGUAUAUAAUGUAGUUGACAUGGAUCAUUUUCACAUGUUUGUUUCUGUUUUCAUGGAAAAUGUAUUGUAAUGCCAUAUUUUAUACAUUUUAUGCAGAAAUGAAUCUAAGUCAUACUAGUAUCAACAGUGGUAGAGAAAAGGGUAACAACUUUUCACAAUAUGAACUACACUUCGUGCUACGCAACUGGAUCAUUCUAUACAUAGAAAUGACGUCAAUAAUUUUUCUAGCGCAUGACUUUUCGCAAAAUAACCGUUGAUUGAUUUACUCCAAUGUGUAUAUAGAUUAUUUGCUGGUCAUGUUAGAAUUAUAUUUAAUAGUAGAUAGUUUUUGUAGAUUGUUUUCCUUACUUGGAAAUAUAUAUAUGUCGACAAGGCGUAUAAAUGUUUGUUUCUAGUAUCCCGCCCUACCCUAAAUAUUUGGCCAGACCCUAAAUGUUUUAUGGUCUUGCAGAAUAGUU
rnacentral:lncRNA from 1 species